AGCUUAAAACUCAAAGGACUUGGCGGUGCUUCACAUCAACUUAGAGGAGCCUGUCCUACAAUCGAUACCCCACGUUAAACCUCACCAUCUUUUGCCCCCCGCCUAUAUACCGCCGUCGUAAAUUUACCCCACAAGAGCCCCACAGUAAGUACAAUUGCCCCCCCCC
rnacentral:rRNA from 1 species